CUAACACAUGCAAGUCGAGCGGAAACGACACUAACAAUCCUUCGGGUGCGUUAAUGGGCGUCGAGCGGCGGACGGGUGAGUAAUGCCUAGGAAAUUGCCUUGAUGUGGGGGAUAACCAUUGGAAACGAUGGCUAAUACCGCAUAAUGCCUACGGGCCAAAGAGGGGGACCUUCGGGCCUCUCGCGUCAAGAUAUGCCUAGGUGGGAUUAGCUAGUUGGUGAGGUAAUGGCUCACCAAGGCGACGAUCCCUAGCUGGUCUGAGAGGAUGAUCAGCCACACUGGAACUGAGACACGGUCCAGACUCCUACGGGAGGCAGCAGUGGGGAAUAUUGCACAAUGGGCGAAAGCCUGAUGCAGCCAUGCCGCGUGUAUGAAGAAGGCCUUCGGGUUGUAAAGUACUUUCAGUUGUGAGGAAGGGGGUAGCGUUAAUAGCUCUAUCUCUUGACGUUAGCAACAGAAGAAGCACCGGCUAACUCCGUGCCAGCAGCCGCGGUAAUACGGAGGGUGCGAGCGUUAAUCGGAAUUACUGGGCGUAAAGCGCAUGCAAGUGGUUCAUUAAGUCAGAUGUGAAAGCCCGGGGCUCAACCUCGGAACUGCAUUUGAAACUGGUGAACUAGAGUACUGUAGAGGGGGGUAGAAUUUCAAGUGUAGCGGUGAAAUGCGUAGAGAUCUGAAGGAAUACCAAUGGCGAAGGCGGCCCCCUGGACAGAUACUGACACUCA
rnacentral:rRNA from 1 species